rnacentral:rRNA from 1 species
AUACGGAGGGUGCAAGCGUUAAUCGGAAUUACUGGGCGUAAAGGGUUCGUAGGCGGUUAUUUAAGUCAGAUGUGAAAGCCCCGGGCUCAACCUGGGAAUUGCAUCUGAUACUGGGUAACUAGAGUUUAAGAGAGGAGUGUGGAAUUUCCGGUGUAGCGGUGAAAUGCAUAGAGAUCGGAAGGAACAUCAGUGGCGAAGGCGGCACUCUGGCUUAAAACUGACGCUGAGGAACGAAAGCGUGGGUAGCAAACAGGAUUAGAUACCCUUGUAGUCC